GAGAUACCCAUAGCUUAAAAUGCAGGAACCAGGAGCUUUGAGCCUAGACAUUUGGAUGAAAAGUGAUUUCCACCUGGAGAAAGUCAUUGCCCUUCUGUGCAGAGGCCUGACCAUAAACUCAGGGAAAGCUGACCCCUACACCAGACCCGGAGCGCAGCCCAUGCGUGGCAGUCUCUGGAGGGAGCUCUCAAGGUCUCAGGUCUCUCUGGCUGGUCACAGUCAUCACAUAUUUGCAUUCCUAGCCCCUGAGCCUUCAUUCCUGGGUUCAUUAGAAGCCUUGGGGAGAGGUGUUCUUUAGGCGCCUCUGCUGAGGCCUCCUUUGGGUGGGGCAGGGAAGGGAGAGAAACCUUGAAGUCACUUUUCCCCACAAUGACUCAGAACCUAGUACUUCCACUCCUAGCCUUCCCCCUCCCUUGCUCUUGGCCCCAGAGUCCAUACAACUUCCAGAGCCUUUUGUUCAGGGCCCUGUCAGCAGUGAGACCACUCCAACCCCACAUUCCCGCUGACCUGCUUGACCCUGGGCCCCUGUGUGUUCCACAGGGGAAAUGGAACAGGGAGAGGCCACGCUUUCUCUGGUUUCAGAUACUUGCUUAUACCAUUGCAGGACAUGAUUGAAAGCUUGAUUCUUUUGUUUUGGGCUGGUUGCCUUAAUUGACUAUUGUGACACCUGGCAGCUCCCUCUCCCAGUUCAACUGAGUUCCUGACAGAGGGACUCCGCCUUCAACCCGCCAGGGGCAAACACUCAAAGGAUGGGCUUCAUUACUGUUGCAGGCUCUGGCUUCUCCUCAUAUGUUUCUAAUUCAUUUCUAGAUUCAAUCUCUCCCUCUCCACAUCGCACAUUCACAAACAGUAACUGCCUGAGGACCAGGAGAAGCACAGGGCCUGCCUCAUUAUUCCUCCCUUGCAUGCUGACUCUUCCACAGGGGCUGGGCAGAGUCAGCACACGCAGGAGGGGAAUCAUGAGCCAGGCCCUGGCCAGAUCCAGAUUUCUAGACAUGAGAACUACCCAAAUCCCAGAGACCCAGUUCUUCCAUCUACUUUACUGAGGAGGAACCGGGGAGUCUGAGAAGUGACUUGGCCAAGGUCACCCAACUGGAACCCAGGUCCUAAGCCUUGGGUUCGAACUCUGAUCAUGACCAGACUGCCUCCUUGAAUCUUCUUUCUACUUUCCUGGUACAGUUUCUGUGCACAGCUGAGUCCUUGGGUGCCCAGGACUAUACUAAGCCCUCUCAAGUCAGUACUUUCUAGGAGGCAGUAGCCUAACUGGGGAGAGAGGUGAGGCCAGGGGUUCCCAGACUUGAGCAGGCAUUAGAAUCAGCUGGUGGGUUAGUUAAAACACAGAUCUGCUGACCCCAUCCCAGGGCUGCUGAUUCAGUAGGCCCGGGAUGGGGUCUGAGAAUUUAUACUUCUAACAAGUUUCCAGGUGUGGCUGAUGAGAACCACUGGGCUUAACCAUAAACAACCAAAAGUAACAGAGGCAGUUAAUGGAAACUGAGCAAAGGCAGAGAAAGGAGAGGAAGGAGGGUGACAUUGUUUCUGGAGGAAAUGAGCUCCAGAGGCUGGUCCCUGGGAGGUCCUUCUCUUCCCUCUACCUUCAUCUACCCCGACUUUGGGUUUAUCUAGAAGUUUCACAGUAGCAUAUAAACUCCCCCUCUCUGCUGGAGGGCUCUGGCCAACAGGUGAAGCCAAAACCAUCACCUGUAGGAGGUUGCUUAGAGCUGGCUCCUGUCCCAACACCCUCCUCUCGGCUUCCCUGUUCACAUUGCUGCAGCCUGCACAGCUGCCUGCCUCCCAUGGAGCCUGGGGGCACCUGUCCUAAAGGCCUCGAGGAUGAAGAGUUGAGGAGGGUGGUUGUGGUGAUCUCACCCACCUCUCCCUUGAUUCCUCCAUGUACUCACGCAAGCCCUGGAAGGCCAAGGACACUGACGCUCAGAGAAAGCUAAGGGAGUGGGUACAUUACAAAAGGAUUGGGAGAGGGGGAGUGGUAAAAACUCCACAGCUCACAUUCAUUGACUCAGCUCAUCUUUCAAGGCCCCAGUUCUCCUGAGUCAUCAGUGAGCAUGGACUUGCUUCAGAGUCACUAAGGCUGAAUGUGGGUCAUUGGGAUCUAAACUGGUGUUUAAAUGUAACUGCACAGAGGUGAGUCAGACACACACACACACACAGAAAAAGAGCAAAAGAGAGAAAGAAGAAAGAAGGAGAUUUAGCUCUCUCUCAAGUGGGGGUGAAAAUCCAGGAGCGAAUCUGAAAUGAUCCACCUCUCCAAAUCCAUCCACUGUUUAAUUAGCUCCAUGUAGCUAUAGGGAAAUUGAGGCAUAACUGCUGUGUCCACUAGCCCAAAGUUGUUCCAGGGGCAGCAGCAACCUCAGGAGGAGGCCAGAGAUUGGCCAAUGGAAAGGCAGAAAGCAGAGACUCUCCACCCAGGCGGAGGCACCAGAGGGCCCAUGGAGGAAAUGGACAGCUGGCGUUAUGGUUCCCCUACGUUUUCCCAAGACUCUUCCAGCUGCCUAAUGGCCUACUGAGGCUGCUCCUUGACCUUGAGUACAAAUGGCCCUCAUACCCAAACAGCCACCUGACCAGAGCCAACCGACAACCUCCUGUGAGCUUCUCAGCCCCAGGCUGGCUCUGCAGAAAUAAGGCACAGGUUUGGAAGUGUCUCUGUUUGACCCUGGUGUUUGGUUCUCUCCCUCACAUACCGGGAACAUGAAGGAGAACCCAUCUCUGCUGCUUUUGAAGUGCAGUGGCUUUCACUUGGAAUGGAAAUCUUUACAGGUGGCACCGGGGGCUGUGCAGAGACGACCAGGGAGAAAUUCCGGACUUCUCAUGUUCUGCCUCUGAGACAGACUGUGCUGGGAAACACAAACAAUACAAAUCCUUGGUUCCAUUUUCCUCAUCCCUUCCUGGCACAUGAAAUCAAAUGAGGGUGAGGGUGACUGGGGAAUAAAGCAGGGGGAGUGAAGAGACGGGGGCCUGCUCUUAGCAGCAGGGUCUGAACUCCACCUGCUCCGGGAUGAACUGGAAAGUGCUUCUUCUCCUCUCUUCCUUGACUGAUGGCUAUGGGAACUUUAGAUGGGGGAAAUACUGAUACACUGAUCUCUCAACCAAAUAUAAUUUGUAUUAAGAAUUAAGAGUUCACAAGUUAUUCUGUCUCUCUCUCUCUCUCUCUUUUUUUUUUUUUUUUAAAGAAACAG